rnacentral:rRNA from 1 species
GAGCCCAAGAUUGAAAGCUGGCGUCUUCGGCGUCCGCAUUGUAAUCUCAAGAAGUGUUUUCCGCUUCGGACCAUGCCUAAGUCCCUUGGAAAAGGGCAUCAUAGAGGGUGAUAAUCCCGUACAUGGCAUGGAGCGCCCGAAGCUUUGUGAUACGCUUUCUAAGAGUCGAGUUGUUUGGGAAUGCAGCUCAAAAUGGGUGGUAAAUGCCAUCUAAGGCUAAAUAUUGGGGAGAGACCGAUAGCGAACAAGUACAGUGAUGGAAAGAUGAAAAGAACUUUGAAAAGAGAGUUAAACAGUACGUGAAAUUGCCAAAAGGGAAGGGUAGGAGGUCAGAGAUGCGGCCUGGGAUUCAGCCUUGCUUUUGCUUGGUGUUUUUCCCAGAUUGCAGGCCAACGUCGGUUUUGGGCACUGGAGAAGGGUAGGAGGAACGUGGCACCUCUCGGGGUGUGUUAUAGCCUCCUACUGGAUACAGCGACCGAGACCGAGGACAGCAGCGUACUCGCAAGAGCGGGCCUUCGGGCACCUUUACGCUUAGGGCGUUGGCAUAAUGGCCCUCUACCACCCGUCUUGA